rnacentral:rRNA from 1 species
UGGGGAAUAUUGGACAAUGGGGGCAACCCUGAUCCAGCCAUCCCGCGUGUGCGAUGAAGGCCUUCGGGUUGUAAAGCACUUUUGGCAGGAAAGAAAUGGCUCUGGUUAAUACCUGGGGCAGAUGACGGUACCUGCAGAAUAAGCACCGGCUAACUACGUG